rnacentral:rRNA from 1 species
AUGGGUUCUUCCUCAGCACCGGCGGGCGAGAGAGCACACGCCGUGUGCCUGCCGGCGGCCGCGCAGGGGCACAUCAUCCCCAUGCUCGACGUGGCUAAGAUGCUCCACGCCCGCGGCUUCCACGUCACCUUCGUCAACACCGAGUACAACCACGCCCGGCUCGUCCGCGCGCGGGGCGCGGCCGCGGUGGCCGGCGUCCCGGGGUUCCGCUUCGCGACCAUUCCGGACGGCCUGCCGCCGUCAGACGGCGACGUCACGCAGGACGUCACGUCCCUAUGUAAGUCCCUCACGGAGACCUGCCUCGGGCCCUUCCGCCGCCUCCUCGCGGAGCUCAGUGACCCCGCCACGGGCCAUCCGCCCGUGACCUGCGUCGUCGCCGACAUCAUUAUGGACUUCUCCAUGGAAGCGGCCGGGGAGCUCGGCCUCCCCUAUGUCCAGCUCUGGACGUCCAGUGCCGUCAGCUAUGUCGGUGUCCGCCACUACCGUCUCCUCUUCGAACGUGGCCUCGCACCGAUCAGAGACGUCAAGCAGCUGACAAACGAGUACCUUGACACGCCGGUGGAAGACGUGCCGGGCCUGCGGAACAUGAGGUUCAGGGACUUCCCAACCUUCAUACGCAGCCCGGCCUCGGACGACUAUAUGCUGCAUUUCGCGCUCGGCAUUGCAGAGCGCGCGGUCGGCGCGUCGGCCAUGAUCGUCAACACCUUCGGCGACCUUGAGGGCGAGGCGGUGGCGGCCAUGGAGGCGCUCGGCCUGCCCAAGGUCUACACCAUCGGCCCGCUCCAUCUGCUGGCGCCGAGCUCAGGCAUCAACAUGAGCCUGUGGAAGCAGGAGGAGGAGUGCCUGCCAUGGCUCGACGGCAAGGAGGUCGGCUCAGUCGUGUACGUCAACUUCGGCAGCAUCACCGUCAUGACCAACGAGCAGCUAGUGGAGUUCGCGUGGGGGCUGGCCAAGAGCGGCAAACAUUUCCUCUGGAUCAUCCGUCCCGACCUCGUCAAGGGCGACACUGCAGUGCUCCCCCCAGAAUUCUCGGUCGAGACGGCGGAGCGUGGGCUCGUGGCCUCCUGGUGCCCGCAGCAGCAAGUGCUGAACCACCCGGCUGUGGGCGCGUUCCUGACGCACAGUGGCUGGAACUCAACGAUGGAGAGCAUGUGCGGUGGCGUGCCCAUCAUCAGCUGGCCAUUCUUCGCGGACCAGCAAACCAACUGCCGAUACCAGUGCAACGAAUGGGGAGUCGGCAUGGAGAUCGACACCGACGUCCGGCGCGACGCCGUUGCAAACCUUAUCAUGGAGCUCAUGGAGGGGGAGAAUGGAAAGGUGAUGAAGAAGAAGGCACAGGAGUGGAGGGAGAAAGCGGUCAAGGCGACCAAGCCCGGCGGCUCGUCUCAUGACAACUUUGAUGCGCUGAUUCGCGAUGUGCUAGCUCCUAGCCGCCAUGGGUAA